rnacentral:rRNA from 1 species
GACGAACGCUGGCGGCGCGCUUAACACAUGCAAGUCGAGCGAGAACCAGGGCUUCGGCCCUGGGGACAGCGGCGAACGGGUGAGUAACACGUGGGUAAUCUGCCCUCGGCACCGGAAUAGCCCGGGGAAACCCGGAUUAAUGCCGGAUGGCCCCUUCACCUCGCGAGGUGUCGGGAAAAGGUAGCUUCGGCCUCUGGCCGAGGAUGAGCCCGCGGCGGAUUAGCUUGUUGGCGGGGUUACGGCCCACCAAGGCGACGAUCCGUAGCUGGUCUGGGAGGACGAUCUGCCACACUGGGGAUGAGACACGGCCCAGACUCCUACGGGAGGCAGCAGGGGGGAAUCUUGCGCAAUGGGCGAAAGCCUGACGCAGCGGCGGCGCGUGAGGGAAGAAGGCCUUCGGGUUGUAAACCUCUUUCAGGAGGGACGAAGCUACUCGGGUGAAUAGCCCAGAGGGUGACGGUACCUCCAGAAGAAGCCCCGGCUAACUACGUGCCAGCCGCCGCCGUAA